rnacentral:tRNA from 1 species
UGAAGGGAAUCUGAAAAAUUACAGGGCUCGGCUCAUAACCUGAAGGCCGUAGGUUCAAAUCCUACCCCCGCAA